AACGAACGUUGGCGGUGUGCCUAAUACAUGCAAGUCGAGCGAGAAAACCGGGGCAACUCGGUGAGUACAGCGGCGGAAGGGUGCGUAAUACAUGGUUAACGUACCCCCCAGAUCGGGAUAACCCUCCGAAAGGUGGGCUAAUACCGGGUAAUGGCAGCGGGUGGCAUCAUUUGCUGCUUAAAGACGCAAGUCACUGGGGGAGCGGACCAUGGCCUAUCAGCUAGUUGGCGGGGUAACGCCCACCAAGGCGAUGACGGGUAGCCGGACUGAGAGGUUGAGCGGCCACACGGGAACUGAGACACGGUCCCGACAUCUACGGAUGGCAGCAGUAGGGAAUCUUGCACAAUGGGCGAAAGCCUGAUGCAGCGACACCGC
rnacentral:rRNA from 1 species